GACGUAGGGGGCCAGCGUUGUUCGGAAUUACUGGGUGUAAAGGGUUCGUAGGCGGUGUGGCAAGUUGGGAGUGAAAUCUCUGGGCUCAACCCAGAGGCUGCUUCCAAAACUGCUGUGCUUGAGUGUGAGAGAGGCGCGUGGAAUUGCAGGUGUAGCAGUGAAAUGCGUAGAUAUCAAGAGGAACACCAGUGGCGAAGGCGAGUCCCUGGACAAUACCUGACACUGAGGCACGAAAGCCAAGGGAGCAAACAGG
rnacentral:rRNA from 1 species